GUAGGGAAUCUUGCGCAAUGGGCGAAAGCCUGACGCAGCCAUGCCGCGUGAAUGAUGAAGGUCUUAGGAUUGUAAAAUUCUUUCACCGGGGACGAUAAUGACGGUACCCGGAGAAGAAGCCCCGGCUAACUUCGUGCCAGCAGCCGCGGUAAUACGAAGGGGGCUAGCGUUGCUCGGAAUUACUGGGCGUAAAGGGAGCGUAGGCGGAUAGUUUAGUCAGAGGUGAAAGCCCAGGGCUCAACCUUUGAAUUGCCUUUGAUACUGGCUAUCUUGAGUAUGGAAGAGGUAUGUGGAACUCCGAGUGUAGAGGUGAAAUUCGUAGAUAUUCGGAAGAACACCAGUGGCGAAGGCGACACACUGGUCCAUUACUGGCGCUGAGACUCGAAAGCGUGGGGAGCAAACAAGAUUAGAAACCCGGGUAGUCC
rnacentral:rRNA from 1 species